CACUCAGCUUUCUGAAAUGGUGUCCCACCGCAAGGACUGGAGAAGGGUAAACCUCAGGUUCUCCUCCUGCCUUUUGCUAAGUAUAUGUCUUGAUGACAAGCCUUCUGCUGAUGAGCUGUGUUUCUGGACCGAUCAUGGUAGAAGUCAAUUAACGUGUCCCUCACUUGGGGUUUCUCAAGGACAUGCAAGGUCCUCAUGAUUGUCUCAAAACUAUAUAGAAUUGAGAAGCUGCACUGAUGAGGAAACUGAAACAGAAAAUCCAGAGUAAAUUCCACCAGGCCACACAGCAAGGUCUGAUAGAGCCAGGAGAGACUUUAUGAAAUCCAGACUCUCACACUAAUGCUCUAUCAGCUAGACCUCCAUGUGAGUCUCCCCAAUGUAGGUAGGAAGUGCUUUCCCUAAAAUGCUCAUAAAGCAAAUCAGAGCAAUGCUGCAUUCCAUGUGAUUUCUAAUUUGAAAUGCAAACAAUUGCCAAUUUGUUUGACUUGUAUUUAUAAUUAUUUCCUUGUGAAUUACUCAUCACUAAAUGCUUUAUAAAUAUUUUCUCUUUUUUUCCUCAAUGUCUAUGGAAUGAUCACAGCAUAGAAAAUGUUGGCUUUCAAGGAUUUAUUAAUAUCUCCUUUUGAAAUAACAUGUAUUUGUAAGACAGAAUAAAAUCACUUUAAAGAAACAAA
rnacentral:lncRNA from 1 species